rnacentral:piRNA from 1 species
UGGUGAACACUUCGGUGAUAUGUUUUC